CGGCGGACGGGUGAGUAACGCGUGGGUAACCGUGCCUCAUACAGGGGGAUAACAGUUGGAAACGGCUGCUAAUACCGCAUAAGCGCACAGUACCGCAUGGUACGGUGUGAAAAACUCCGGUGGUAUGAGAUGGACCCGCGUCUGAUUAGGUAGUUGGUGGGGUAACGGCCUACCAAGCCGACGAUCAGUAGCCGACCUGAGAGGGUGACCGGCCACAUUGGGGCUGAGACACGGCCCAA
rnacentral:rRNA from 1 species